AAGUAGAAACAUUCUAAAAUCCUAGAGUUAAAUCUCAGUUUUUAGUUAGCUUGAAUCACUGGGCUGUGGCUCAGAAGCACUUCAUACCUUCCCCCCCACCGCCACCUUUUUUUCUCUCUUUACAUAAGACAAAAUGGAUAGAGGGGACCACCACUAGGACUGGACCCCAGGAGUCUCUAUCUGUCAAGCCAGUGCACAUUCAGCCUGCAGAAAUUCAUCAAAAUUACCAGUUAAGUGUUUCUACCAGUUACUGGCUCCAGCCACGUCAGCUCCCGGCCUGCUUGUCUACCUAUUGUCAGCACCUGUGUCUCUUCGCAUAAGACCUUUGUCUUGUCAAAGAAGAAUGCACUACCUAUGUGAAUUAUAAGCCGGAUACUGGGGACAUAGAAAUGCUUCCCCAUCAGCCCAACCAAUGAGUGGCAGAAGCUGGUGCAUAAUCUGGCAGCUCCAUUAUUCAUUUGGCAGACUUAUUCUGAGGGGUUUGUUCCUUACUACCUCCUAAAUAUUAUAACAUGAUUGACAACUUA